rnacentral:rRNA from 1 species
UGGGGAAUAUUGCGCAAUGGGCGAAAGCCUGACGCAGCGACGCCGCGUGAGGGAUGAAGGUCUUCGGAUCGUAAACCUCUGUCAGGAGGGAAGAAGUGGGUUCGUGCUAAUCAGCGGGCCUUUGACGGUACCUCCAAAGGAAGCACCGGCUAACUCCGUGCCAGCAGCCGCGGUAAUACGGAGGGUGCAAGCGUUAAUCGGAAUCACUGGGCGUAAAGCGCACGUAGGCUGUUUUGUAAGUCAGAGGUGAAAUCCCACGGCUCACCCGUGGAACUGCCUUUGAUACUGCUCAACGUGAG